rnacentral:rRNA from 1 species
CGGUAACAGCUCAAAUUUGAAAGCUAGCUCUUUUAGGGUUCGCAUUGUAAUUUGUAGAGGAUGCUUUUGGUGCGGUGCCUUCCGAGUUCCCUGGAACGGGACGCCUUAGAGGGUGAGAGCCCCGUACGGUUGGACGCCUAGCCUCUGUAAAGCUCCUUC